rnacentral:misc_RNA from 1 species
GGACUACGCGGGUAUCUAAUCCUGUUUGCUCCCCACGCUUUCGUGCCUCAGCGUCAGUGUUGUCCCAGAUGGCCGCCUUCGCCACUGAUGUUCCUCCCGAUCUCUACGCAUUUCACCGCUACACCGGGAAUUCCACCAUCCUCUGACACACUCUAGCUGUCCAGUAUCCAUUGCCAUUCCCAGGUUGAGCCCGGGGAUUUCACAACAGACUUAAACAACCGCCUACGCACGCUUUACGCCCAGUAAUUCCGAUUAACGCUUGCACCCUUCGUAUUACCGCGGCGGCUGACAC